ensembl:lncRNA
GUUCUCUGCUACUGCCUGGGUGUCAUGCUACCCUAGAUGAAGUUCUCUGCUACUGCCUGGGUGUCAUGCCACCCCUAGAGGAGGUUCUCUGCUUCUGCCUGGGUGUCAUGCCACCCUAGAGGAGGUUCUCUGCUACUGCCUGGGUGUCAUGCUACCCUAGAUGAAGUUCUCUGCUACUGCCUGGGUGUCAUGCCACCCUAGAUGAAGUUCUCUGCUACUGCCUGGGUGUCAUGCUACCCUAGAUGAAGUUCUCUGCUACUGCCUGCGUGUCAUGCCACCCCUAGAGGAGGUUCUCUGCUACUGCUUGCGUGUCACCCUAGAGGAGGUUAUCUGCUACUGCCUGCGUGUCACCCCUAGAGGAGGUGCUCUGCUACUGCCUGCGUGUCACCCCUAGAGGAGGUUUUCUGCUACUGCCUGCGUGUCACCCCGAGAGGAGGUUCUCUGCUACUGCCCGCGUGUCCCCCCUAGAGGAGGGCACCUUGAUUGGUCCUAGACAGGGUUACCUGCCUCGCCUCGCUCCUUACCGUAUGGGCCGAGAACAGCAGUCUGCUGCUCGUACUGGGCGCAGAUGAAAUGAUAAACACCUCAUCUGUCCCCAAGUCCAGUUCCGUGAGACCAUUGGAUGAGAGGUCCACUUCAGCAUGCUCAGACAUAUCACCACCAACACUGACCGGGGAAC